rnacentral:rRNA from 1 species
UAGGGAAUCUUCCACAAUGGGCGCAAGCCUGAUGGAGCAACGCCGCGUGAGUGAAGAAGGGUUUCGGCUCGUAAAGCUCUGUUGUUAAAGAAGAACACGUAUGAGAGUAACUGCUCAUACGUUGACGGUAUUUAACCAGAAAGUCACGGCUAACUACGUGCCUG